CAAGCCUCAGCCUCCUGAGGACCCAGGACUACAGGCAUGUACGCCCACCCCCACCUGGCCUCUCUUGGCAUUUACAAGGUACAUUUUCCUCCUUCCCUUCUGGUGUCACUCCUCUACCAGACCUCGGAAGAGAAGACAACUUCGAGGCUCAGGCUCGGGUCCUCUUCUCUAACUACCCUCCUCUUCUACAUAAACUCACCUGACCUGCGGCUUUAUGUGUCUGUGUACAACUGACCCAAAUAUUCUAUCUUUGGUAUGUGAGUAGUUUCUACUCAACCUUAUUCU
rnacentral:lncRNA from 1 species